UACAGAGGUGGCAAGCGUUGUUCGGAAUUACUGGGCGUAAAGCGCACGUAGGCGGUUUGUUAUGUCGGAUGUGAAAGCCCUUGGCUCAACUGAGGAAGUGCAUCCGAAACUGGCAAGCUAGAGUACUAAAGAGGAUCGCGGAAUUCCCGGUGUAGAGGUGAAAUUCGUAGAUAUCGGGAGGAACACCGGUGGCGAAGGCGGCGAUCUGGACGAUGACUGACGCUGAGACGCGAAAAGCGUGGGGGAGCAAACAGG
rnacentral:rRNA from 1 species